UGUGGUUAUUCUACAGAUGGUUUGCAUGGGUGGCUUGUUUCUACUGGAUGAAAUCUCCUUUUGGACUCUAGUUUGGGUAUAAGAAAAUCAUGUACUACUAGUUCAUGUUGGUAAAAUUCUCAUACAUUUUCACCUGUAGACCCAUUGUCUUUGGAGUUUUUGAUUGAGGAGAAGUAAGUAACAUGGCAGAAGCAUACUCAAGUAGCUGAUGCAAAGGAACAAUCUCUGAAGACUCAUCAGCCAUCAUGGUCAAUUCCAGUUUGGAUGGGUAACAGCUCUUCACCAGCAUUGAAUUCAACCCAAGGAACAAGGAACCGAGGAGGAAGGAAGUAAUUGACAUUCAAAGCCUCUAUUUUUAGACACCUUUACACUUUCCUUUUGCUUCUAACUAGCAAGGAUUUUUCCAAACAAGCUUUUAAUUAGCAGUUUGUCCUGCUUUCCUGCAUCAGCUGCUUGGGAGGUUUUAUUCUUCAAUUUUUUACGUGAUGAUAUCAGACGUCUUUGCUACCAGAUACAGUUGAAGAAUUAUAAGCCCUCUGCUCUGUUCCGCUCUCUGCACAUGUUUAUUAGUAAGUAGAUAGCAUUGGAAG
rnacentral:lncRNA from 1 species